rnacentral:lncRNA from 1 species
UUUAUGCCCCACCUACGAUAGUAGAGGGGCAUUAUGUUUUCUGGUCUGUGCGUCCGUUCGUUCGUUCGUCCGUCCGUCUGUUCGUUCGUUCGUUCGUUCGUCCGUCUGUCCCGCUUCAGGUUAAAGUUUUUGGUCAAGGUAGUUUUUGAUGAAGUUGAAGUCCAAUCAACUUGAAACUUAGUACACAUGUUCCUUAUGAUAUGAUCUUUCUAAUUUAAAUGCCAAAUUAGAGUUUUGACCCCAAUUUUACGGUUCACUGAACAUAGAAAAUGAUAGUGCAAAUUUCAGGUUAAAGUUUUUGGCUUCAGGUUAAAGUUUUUGGUCAAAGUAGUUUUUGAUGAAGUUGAAGUCCAAUCAACUUGAAACUUAGUAUACAUGUGCCCUAUGAUAUGAUCUUCCUAAUUUAAAUGCCAAAUUAGAGUUUAGACCCCAAUUUUACGGUUCACUGAACAUAGAAAAUGAUAGUGCAAAUUUCAGGUUAAAGUUUUUGGUCAAGGUAGUUUUUGAUGAAGUUGAAGUCCAAUCAACUUGAAACUUAGUAUACAUGUGCCCUAUGAUAUGAUCUUUCUAAUUUAAAUGCCAAAUUAGAGUUUUGACUCCA